AAUCAACGCUGGCGGCGUGCCUAACACAUGCAAGUCGAACGAGAAAGGGUAGCAAUACCUGAGUAAAGUGGCGCACGGGUGAGUAACACGUGACUAACCUACCCUGGAGUGGGGGAUAACUGAGGGAAACCUUAGCUAAUACCGCAUAACACCUACGGGUCAAAGGAGCAAUUCGCUUUGGGAGGGGGUCGCGGCCGAUUAGUUAGUUGGCGGGGUAAUGGCCCACCAAGACGAUGAUCGGUAUCCGGCCUGAGAGGGCGCACGGACACACUGGAACUGAAACACGGUCCAGACUCCUACGGGAGGCAGCAGUGGGGAAUUUUGCGCAAUGGGGGAAACCCUGACGCAGCAACGCCGCGUGGAGGAUGAAGUACUUCGGUACGUAAACUCCUUUCGAUCGGGACGAUUAUGACGGUACCGAGAGAAGAAGCCCCGGCUAACUUCGUGCCAGCAGCCGCGGUAAUACGAGGGGGGCGAGCGUUGUUCGGAAUUAUUGGGCGUAAAGGGUGCGUAGGCGGUUUGGUAAGUCUCGUGUAAAUCUAUGGGCUCAACUCAUAGUCUGCACGAGAAACUGCCG
rnacentral:rRNA from 1 species